rnacentral:piRNA from 1 species
UGCUUCAGCACGACAAUGCAGAAAACAC